rnacentral:tmRNA from 1 species
GGGGACGACAUGGUUUCGACGGGAUGUAUGGAUGGCAUAGGGUGCAGGCGGAGGCUGGAACAUCCUCCAAAAUCAGGUUCCAAAAACACAAGUGCCAAUAGCACUUAUGCUCUCGCUGCCUAAGUAAUUAGGUAGCCUGCCCUCCCCGGCCGGGGCGCAGCGGCCGAGGAUGCGGCAUCAACUCCCUGCGCUGGCGUGCGGCAGGCCGCGGUCCGCACGCGAGAUCAUGCGGCUGGCUUCCCCAAGCUUUGUCGCUGGUGCGACCGGGGAGCGAGACCCAAUCCAGCGAAGAAGCCUGUGAUACCCGGUGUGGUCCGCUUCUCGGACGCGGGUUCGAUUCCCGCCGUCUCCACGA